UACGGGGGGGGCAAGCGUUGUUCGGAAUUACUGGGCGUAAAGGGUGCGUAGGCGGCUCGCUAAGUUAGAUGUGAAAACUCUGGGCUCAACCCAGAGCCUGCAUCUAAAACUGGCGGGCUAGAGUUCUGGAGGGGGUAGCGGAAUUCCUGGUGUAGCGGUGAAAUGCGUAGAUAUCUGGAGGAACACCGGUGGCGAAGGCGGCAUCCUGGACCAACACUGACGCUGAUGAGCGAAAGCCAGGGGAGCAAACGGG
rnacentral:rRNA from 1 species